ACGUUUAUCAACACUUAAGUAAUAAAUCAAUCAUCAACUCUCAUGUCCUUUAAUUUUCAAAAUUUAGUUUACAAAUUUAGUUUCCCUAACAUUACUCAUAAGAAAAAUAAAAAAAAUAAAAAAAGUGAUUUCUCAAUUUUAUAUUUAUCAUUUUUCUUUGUUCACAAUUAUUUGUAGCGACUGAAGGAAGUUGAACUUAUGGAGCAUCCCACCUCCAGGUUGAAGCAGUUGUUAAAAUCAAUUAAUAGCUCUCCAAAUCUUAUGACUCCCAUUGGAAGAGAACAACUGUCAGUAUUUGGAUACAAUUCUUUUGUUUUCUUUUCGUUGGUUUCAUUUUAUAUAUUGAUGGGUCCUUUCUUUUCUGUCGUGUCAAUGAAUACAAUUCUUUUUUCAAUUUAUAAUCGAUUUAUAACGAGCCUUUCGUUUUUUAUAGAAAGCGACUAAAAGAAGUUCGAGCUUCACCUUAAACUCAUUUAACAUUAAUGUCAAAAUAGAAGGAAGUCCAACAUUUUAUCAGCACAUACAAGAUUCUUAAUUUUUUAUGUGGAACAACACUAUACAUCCUAACAACAACCCAAAUUUGAUACUGGAAUUUGAGUGCUGUCUACGAUCUUUUCUUGGUAGAAUUGGACGAUUUCAUGGUCAUCAUAUAUAUUAUAUUUCAUGAUUUUAUGCUUAUAUGUUUACCGAUUAGAUUAAAAUCAUGAAGAUUAAGUGAGUUGAAAAAGUAAUAUUGCAUUGAAAGGUUCUAUAUCUUCGUCUUUUCUCAAGGCAUUUUUAGACAAAGAUUUUGUUUUUUUUUUCUCUUUUCGGAUGAUAAAUACUUCUUAGAAUAUGAAGUGUGAAUCAAAUCUAUGCUUAAAUUGAAAUUGGUUAAGAUAUAACUUUCUUAAAUUAGAAAUAAAAAGUGGUCAAGUGAUGAAACAUUUUCUAAACUUAUCUAUACUGGAAUGAAUAUAUGCUCAUGGAACCCACUAAUUCCUUUAUUUCUUUUAAUUAAGUGGUAGUGGCCCAAGUUCAUGGGACAGUCCUUAAACCCCAGAAGUUUAUUAUGCAUUUGUCUCGUUUAGUAUAGAUCACCUUUAAUUUUGAGAGGAUUAGACGUGAAUGAAAGUUCUUUCUUCUAAUCUUAUCAUUUUGGCAUGUGGUUCAAUAUCUUAGCGGAUAGGUGUGGUAGGUUUCUACUUACGCAUCCCGGGUUCGAAACUCUCUCAUUUCCUAUAUUAUUAUAAUAAUUGCAAACCCUUCCUCUCCCCUUAAAAUAAUAAAUUAAAAAAAAAGAAUCUACCAUUUGAGAAGGGAUUGAAAUGAAUAAGUUUUCUUCAAGUUAGACACAAUAUUUUCAUUUUUUUUCUUUAACAAUGUCUUACUCAUUCCAAUCUAAUCUUCUACACCAAACAAAACCUUAUUUAAAAUAUAAGUAGGAAAAAAUUAUUUAAAAUAUAAGUAGGAAAAAUUAUACUUUGAAGAGUAGUGCAAGCAAAAUGAAUUUUUUUAGGGUACUUAUAACGUGUCAGUUUUCUAAAUGCUGUAGACAUUUUGGAGAAGGGCUUCUAAGCCUUGUAUGAUAUCUGGUCAAAGGAAACUUCUCAUAUGUGAUACAGAAUAUGUCUAAAUCCAAUGAACUUUCUUUCUUUGUAUCAUAUCGUUUUUCAAUCCGUUUUUGGUUUUAUGUAACUAAUUCUUAAUCUCUUGAUGGUCAAAUAGUGAAGAUACUAACCCGUUGAUAUGUUUGCCCAAGUAGUGGAGAAGUAGAGGGUUCGUAGGUGAGCGUAUAUGUAUAAGGAACCUCAACUAUACAACUAAUUAAAAGAAGAUUCGUGUUGUAAAAAGCAUUGGAGAUGAAGGAGUCGACCCAAAUUGUGAAGAACAUGGAGGUGUGGAGGUGAUUCUACACUGUAUUGAGUUAUAGGCUGCAGGAGGCCGGUAGGUAGAGUAUAAUUAUUGUUCUAAAGAUUCCCGCCUAAUGCCGCUUAGGCUCCGUCUAGGCACUAGGCGACUGGUCACCAUCCCGAUUAAUCUCUAGGCAUUUGAAAAUUAAGUAAGUGCGCCUCGACCUGCUUAGGGGUCCACCUAGCCCACCUUGUUUGCCUAAAUUAGUCUGCCUAGGUUGUGACUCUCACUUAGAUAAAAAGCUGAUAAGUUUCAUUUUGCAUUUUAUUUUGUCAAUAAAAUCUAAGAUACUUGUUAAAUACUUAGAUGAACACUCAUUAUAUGUUUGUUCCCCAUGAUUUAAUAUGUUUUAAUACUUUAUUUUUUACUUCGGUCUUUAGUGCAAAUGAAGUGUAGAUUUGUCAAUAACAUUUUUAAUAAACUACUCCGAACUCUGAUGCAAAGGAACAGGAACACUAUCCUAAUUAUUAAAUGACAAUAGAAGAACUAUUUAACCUCCUUACACCUAAAAAAAAAAAAAAAAAAAAAAAAAAAAAAAAAAAAAAAAAAAAACUUCUUAACCUAAUAGUACGAUUUUGCAAUUUUGCACUCUCUUAAUAUCACUUGUGUUUAGAAAAGGUUUUAUAUUGAUUCAAUUGCAAAACAAGUUAGAGAACUAUGUCAAUUUUAGAGACCAAUUUAAUCUAAAAGAAAACCUUGAAAAAAAAACAAAACAAUCGUGAGAUCAGAUCAU
rnacentral:lncRNA from 1 species